rnacentral:rRNA from 1 species
GUAGGGAAUAUUCCGCAAUGGGCGAAAGCCUGACGGAGCGACGCCGCGUGAGCGAUGAAGGCCUUCGGGUUGUAAAGCUCUGUCAAGAGGGAAGAAAGGUUUCGGCGCGAAUAGUGCAGGAACUUGACGGUACCUCUGGAGGAAGCCCCGGCUAAUUACGUGCCAGCAGCCGCGGUAAUACGUAAGGGGCGAGCGUUGUCCGGAAUCACUGGGCGUAAAGGGCGCGUAGGCGGCCACGUAAGUCAGAGGUGAAAGCUGUGGGCUCAACCCACAAACCGCCUCUGAGACUGCAUGGCUUGAGUUCUGCAGGGGAAAGUGGAAUUCACGGUGUAGCGGUGAAAUGCGUAGAUAUCGUGGAGAACACCCGUGGCGAAGGCGGCUUUCUGGGCAGACACUGACGCUGAGGUGCGAAAGCUAGGGGAGCGAACAGGAUUAGAUACCCUAGUAGUCC